CAGGUACAGCGGGAAGCCAGGCGGCGACGCCGAGCGGAACCCGAAAACCUGUCUCAGUUCGGAUCGGAGUCUGCAACCCGACUCCGUGAAGCUGGAUUCGCUAGUAAUCGCGCAUCAGCCAUGGCGCGGUGAAUACGUUCCCGGGCCUUGUACACACCGCCCGUCAAGCCAUGGAAGCCGGGGGUGCCUGAAGUGUGCAGCCGCAAGGAGCGCCCUAAGGUAAAACCGGUGACUGGGGCUAAGUCGUAACAAGGUAGC
rnacentral:rRNA from 1 species